CAAUUUUGUUAAAAAAAAAAAAAAGUCCAUUUUGAUGCAAAUUAUUGGUUGAGCUACGAGGAUUAAUACAUGGAAUAGUUAUGACUAUGUUGGAUCUUGGUAUCCAAAGUAAUGGUCUAAAAAGGUCAACGUCAUUCAUUCAAUGACCCCUACCAAGCUGUAGCUACCAUCCUGGGAUGGCCACCACAUGUUUUAAGUAGACCAUUGUAUACUGAGGCUGGACUGUGAGAGCUGUUUAGCUCAAAGUGGUACCGAAAACAAGCUAAGCACAUGGAUUAACACUAACAUCUGGGUGAGAAGCACUUGACAACUUAAUGAAACUGGGCAAUAUGGUGAGAAAAAAAAGUCAGCUGCACAGUUAAAGCAGACAGGUCUGAAAAUAAGGUGGAAUUGGGAUCACUGACGUGCAUGUGAGAGUGUUGUGAACUGGCAACACAAAACCCGGUCAAUCGUCCUCCAAGUUUUAACCUCGAUCACCACGGGGUGUUCAUUUAAAAAAAAUAAAAAUGUUCUAAGUCAUGUAACUUUCAGCCAAACUAUAACCAACUGAUUUACAAAAUGUUCCACUCUUGCAAAAAUGGACAAAACAUCAAGUUAACUGGUUGCUUUUGACAUUCAUUCAAUGAUUCAAAACACUUGAAACCAUAAAUAACUGUUUCAAACAAUGACUCAUUUUCAAAACAAUACUCUUAUGUUUGAAAAAUUAUUGACUUUUCCAAAAUCGCUGCAAAAGCUAAAUGAAACACAUGCAUCAGAAAAUGAAUCUUUGUCUACACAGUGAUGGCAGAAACAAGGCUUCUUUUACUUUGAAGCAAAUUAAUUAACCAAGGGGUUCACAAAAUGAUUCCAUUUCAAAACACAUGAAACAGUCAACAAAAUUACUGCUUUAGUCAAUAGUAAGUAUCUUCAGAUGUAUUCACUGUGGGUCACCACAGCAGACCCGAAGUGGAUCUGAAUGUUGAUUUGGCCCAAAUUUUAAGCCGGCUACCCUUCUUGAUGUCACUCCACAUUACAUGGAAAAUGGGCAGGGGUGGGUUUGAACCAGGAAGCUUCCACAUUGGAAACAAGCACCCUGCUCUGCUUUAGACAGUAUUUGUUUAAAAAAGCUCAAAACAGCAAAAAAAUGCCAUCACUGUAGCAAACAAUUCAUUGUUACAAAACACUCAAAAACACUAACAAGUGCUCUGAAAACAAAAGUUAUUAUUUCACAAUGUUUGAAAUGAUUACUGAAAUAACUGCUUCAGUCAACAACUAACAGUUUUGUCUCAAGUGAUUCGAAAAUGCCUGAAACAUUUCAAUGGCAACAUCUACU